rnacentral:rRNA from 1 species
ACGAACGCUGGCGGCGCGCCUAACACAUGCAAGUCGAACGAGCGAGAGAGAGCUUGCUUUCUUGAGCGAGUGGCGAACGGGUGAGUAACGCGUGAGGAACCUGCCUCAAAGAGGGGGACAACAGUUGGAAACGACUGCUAAUACCGCAUAAGCCCACGGGGCCGCCUGGCACAGAGGGAAAAAGAGCAAUCCGCUUUGAGAUGGCCUCGCGUCCGAUUAGCUAGUUGGUGAGGUAACGGCCCACCAAGGCGACGAUCGGUAGCCGGACUGAGAGGUUGAACGGCCACAUUGGGACUGAGACACGGCCCAGACUCCUACGGGAGGCAGCAGUGGGGAAUAUUGCACAAUGGGGGAAACCCUGAUGCAGCGACGCCGCGUGGAGGAAGAAGGUCUUCGGAUUGUAAACUCCUGUUGUUGGGGAAGAUAAUGACGGUACCCAACAAGGAAGUGACGGCUAACUACGUG